AAAGUUUGAUCCUGGCUCAGGGUGAGCGCUGGCGGCGUGCUUAACACAUGCAAGUCGAACGAACCUUCCGGUUAGUGGCGGACGGGUGAGUAACGCAUGGGAAUCUGCCCUCAGGAGGGGGAUAACGGCUGGAAACGGCCGCUAAUACCCCAUAUGCCGAGAGGUGAAACGUAUUUCGCCUGAAGAUGAGCCCGCGUCUGAUUAGCUAGUUGGAGAGGUAAGAGCUCACCAGGGCAUCGAUCAAUAGCUGGUCUGAGAGGAUGAUCAGCCACACUGGGACUGAGACACGGCCCACACUCCUACGGGAGGCACCAGGGGGGUAUAUUCCGCAAUGAGCGAAAGCCAUACGGAGCAAUACCGCGUGAGGGAGGAAGGUUUUAGGAUUGUAAACCUCAAAACUUA
rnacentral:rRNA from 1 species